rnacentral:rRNA from 1 species
UUGCCCAGUAACGGCGAGUGAAGCGGCAAGAGCUCAAAUUUGAAAGCUGGCCCCCCCGGGGUCCGCGUUGUAAUUUGCAGAGGAUGCUUCGGAUGCGGCCCCCGUCUAAGUGCCCUGGAAGGGGCCGUCAUAGAGGGUGAGAAUCCCGUCUGGGACGGGGUGUCCGCGUCCGUGUGAAGCUCCUUCGACGAGUCGAGUUGUUUGGGAAUGCAGCUCUAAAUGGGUGGUAAAUUUCAUCUAAAGCUAAAUACUGGCCGGAGACCGAUAGCGCACAAGUAGAGUGAUCGAAAGAUGAAAAGCACUUUGAAAAGAGAGUUAAACAGCACGUGAAAUUGUUGAAAGGGAAGCGUUUGCGACCAGACUCGCCCGCGGGGUUCAGCCGGCACUCGUGCCGGUGUACUUCCCCGCGGGCGGGCCAGCGUCGGUUUGGGCGGCCGGUCAAAGGCCCUCGGAAUGUGUCACCCCCCGGGGUGUCUUAUAGCCGAGGGUGCAAUGCGGCCUGCCCGGACCGAGGAACGCGCUCCGGCUCGGACGCUGGCGUAAUGGUCGCAAAUGACCCGUCUUGAAACACGGACCAAGGAGUCUAACAUCUACGCGAGUGUUCGGGUGUCAAACCCGUACGCGCAGUGAAAGCGAACGGAGGUGGGAGCCCCCCCGGGGGCGCACCAUCGACCGAUCCUGAUGUCUUCGGAUGGAUUUGAGUACGAGCGUAGCUGUGGGGACUCCGAAAAGAUGGUGAACUAUGCCUGAAUAGGGCGAAGCCAGGAGGAAACUCUGGUGGAAGGCUCGCAGCGGUUCUGACGUGCAAAUCGAUCGUCGAAUUUGGGUAUAGGGGCGAAAAGACUAAUUCGAAACCAUCUAGUAGCUGGGUCUUGCGGAG